rnacentral:rRNA from 1 species
GAUGAACGCUGGCGGCGUGCCUAAUACAUGCAAGUCGAGCGAACGGACGAGAAGCUUGCUUCUCUGAUGUUAGCGGCGGACGGGUGAGUAACACGUGGAUAACCUACCUAUAAGACUGGGAUAACUUCGGGAAACCGUAGCUAAUACCGGAUAAUAUUUUGAACCGCAUGGUUCAAAAGUGAAAGACGGUCUUGCUGUCACUUAUAGAUGGAUCCGCGCUGCAUUAGCUAGUUGGUAAGGUAACGGCUUACCAAGGCAACGAUGCAUAGCCGACCUGAGAGGGUGAUCGGCCACACUGGAACUGAGACACGGUCCAGACUCCUACGGGAGGCAGCAGUAGGGAAUCUUCCGCAAUGGGCGAAAGCCUGACGGAGCAACGCCGCGUGAGUGAUGAAGGUCUUCGGAUCGUAAAACUCUGUUAUUAGGGAAGAACAUAUGUGUAAGUAACUGUGCACAUCUUGACGGUACCUAAUCAGAAAGCCACGGCUAACUACGUGCCAGCAGCCGCGGUAAUACGUAGGUGGCAAGCGUUAUCCGGAAUUAUUGGGCGUAAAGCGCGCGUAGGCGGUUUUUUAAGUCUGAUGUGAAAGCCCACGGCUCAACCGUGGAGGGUCAUUGGAAACUGGAAAACUUGAGUGCAGAAGAGGAAAGUGGAAUUCCAUGUGUAGCGGUGGAAUGCGCAGAGAUAUGGAGGAACACCAGUGGCGAAGGCGACUUUCUGGUCUGUAACUGACGCUGAUGUGCGAAAGCGUGGGGAUCAAACAGGAUUAGAUACCCUGGUAGUCCACGCCGUAAACGAUGAGUGCUAAGUGUUAGGGGGUUUCCGCCCCUUAGUGCUGCAGCUAACGCAUUAAGCACUCCGCCUGGGGAGUACGACCGCAAGGUUGAAACUCAAAGGAAUUGACGGGGACCCGCACAAGCGGUGGAGCAUGUGGUUUAAUUCGAAGCAACGCGAAGAACCUUACCAAAUCUUGACAUCCUUUGACAACUCUAGAGAUAGAGCCUUCCCCUUCGGGGGACAAAGUGACAGGUGGUGCAUGGUUGUCGUCAGCUCGUGUCGUGAGAUGUUGGGUUAAGUCCCGCAACGAGCGCAACCCUUAAGCUUAGUUGCCAUCAUUAAGUUGGGCACUCUAAGUUGACUGCCGGUGACAAACCGGAGGAAGGUGGGGAUGACGUCAAAUCAUCAUGCCCCUUAUGAUUUGGGCUACACACGUGCUACAAUGGACAAUACAAAGGGCAGCGAAACCGCGAGGUCAAGCAAAUCCCAUAAAGUUGUUCUCAGUUCGGAUUGUAGUCUGCAACUCGACUACAUGAAGCUGGAAUCGCUAGUAAUCGUAGAUCAGCAUGCUACGGUGAAUACGUUCCCGGGUCU